UCCGGUGAGUAAAGUGGCGUACGGGUGAGUAACACGUGGAUAAUCUGCCUUUUUGUGGGGGAUAACCUGGGGAAACCUGGGCUAAUACCGCAUAAGCUCGAAAGAGGAAAGCCGCAAGGCGCAGGAAGAGGAGUCCGCGGUCGAUUAGCUAGUUGGUAGGGUAAAGGCCUACCAAGGCAACGAUCGAUAGCCGGCCUGAGAGGGCACACGGCCACACUGGCACUGAAACACGGGCCAG
rnacentral:rRNA from 1 species